CUACGGGCUGCACCAGUGGGGAAUAUUGCACAAUGGGCGCAAGCCUGAUGCAGCAACGCCGCGUGAGUGAAGAAGGCCUUCGGGUCGUAAAGCUCUGUCCUCUGGGACGAAUAAAUGACGGUACCAGAGGAGGAAGCCCCGGCUAACUACGUGCCAGCAGCCGCGGUAAUACGUAGGGGGCAAGCGUUAUCCGGAAUCACUGGGCGUAAAGGGUGCGUAGGUGGUCUAUCAAGUCAGAAGUGAAAGGCAGUGGCUCAACCAUUGUAAGCUUUUGAAACUGAUGGACUUGAGUGUAGGAGAGGUAAGUGGAAUUCCUAGUGUAGCGGUGAAAUGCGUAGAUAUUAGGAGGAACACCAGUGGCGAAGGCGACUUACUGGACUAUUACUGACACUGAGGCACGAAAGCGUGGGGAGCGAACAGGAUUAGAUACCCCUGUAGUC
rnacentral:rRNA from 1 species